rnacentral:rRNA from 1 species
UACAUGGGGUGCAAACGUUGCUCGGAAUUAUUGGGCGUAAAGCGCGCGCAGGUGGUUCUUUAAGUCUGAUGUGAAAGCCCCCGGCUCAACCGGGGAGGGUCAUUGGAAACUGGGGAACUUGAGUAUAGAAGAGGAAAGUGGAAUUCCACGUGUAGCGGUGAAAUGCGUAGAUAUCGGGAGGAACACCAGUGGCGAAGGCGGCUAUCUGGGCUGCAACUGACGCUGAGGCGCGAAGGCUAGGGUAGCAAACAGG